rnacentral:rRNA from 1 species
AUGGGGGUAAGAUCACAUGUCGAAGGAGAUGGUGCUGUUGGGCGGGUUGUAGAAGGUGACGACCCUGCCGUUGAGCGGCUGCACCGGCCGGGCGUUCUGCUUGGCGGCGGCCGGCAGCGGCGCGGUGACGAGGUCGAUCUGCUCCUUGGUCAUCUGCCUCACCUUGCCCAGGACGUUCCAGUAGACGUUCUCGGCGCACGGUGGCGCCGUGAGGGAGCCCAUGUACCGGAAGUAGCUCCCCGUCCGCUUCUCCAGCGAGCGCAGGUGCACCAGCCCGGUCGCCACGCGCGCGUCCUGCUCGCCGUAGCUGCACCGGUCGGCCGCCAGCUCCGCCAGCUUCCGCUUGAGCUGGUAGUAGAAGGAGUCCGGGGCGCCGAGCUUGUAGAGGAUGGCGAUGAUGGCGAGCUCGCCGGAGCCGGCGUCGCUCUCGUGGACGAGCUGGACCUCGACCGGGUGCCUCUUGCCGUUGAUGGUGUGCUCGGAGGGCGUCUUCCACCGGAGCUUCUUGAGGCUGAAGGCCUUGCCGCCGAUGGACACGCUGCCAGGCUUGCCGUUGAACGUCAUCUGCAUUGCCAUCCAUUUGCCAAAUCGGCCGGUCAGUGCUCAGUACAUGGACGCGCGCGCGUCACCGGCUUGGAGGCGUCAAUGGAAGGGACUUGCCGAGAUUUCUUUGCCGUUGUUGAUGAGGGUGGCGUCGGUGGCGACGUAGGUGCGGGUGAGGGGGUCGAGGUCGGGCUUGGGGACGGCGCUCUUGGUGACGAUGUCGAUGGGGGACUGCUUCCUCGCCGCGGCGCCGCCGUUGCAUGCGCUGUACUUGGGGCUCAGCUUGGCCCAGUUCUCCGGGCCCAGCUUGGUCCCCGACACGUAGCUGUAGUCCGGAUCGUCGGCUGCAACGGACGCCGCCGACGCCGCGACAGCGACGACCAAGGCGAGGACGGCCCGACGGGACGCCAUUGCCGGCACCGUGGAUCGACCGUUUCUUGCCUUUCCCCUGAUUGGUCAAGUCGAAGGAAUCGAUCGCGCGAGGCCGGCCGCUUUGCCGCGCGUGUAUUUACAGGCACGAAACUCGGUUGCUGGGUGGGACGGGUGGACGGGAGUGGAGGUAGAAGGGGGAGGAGCUUAAUUUGCUUGGCGCCAAGAAUAGCGCUCUGUCUGCUGCCGUGCUGA